rnacentral:rRNA from 1 species
AUGAUGCCAACGGAGCGAGACCAACGGGGAAAGGAACAGGGCGUGGCCCCACAUGGUGGCUUGCCGUCUGCUUCACUGUUUCAUACCUUUCUCUGUACAAUUUCUUCAGCUUCAGAAACUAUGUACAAGUCUCUACAUCUAUUCUUCAAAUUUUCAGAUCCACCGCCCCUUCUAGCUCUCUACACUGUACCCUGA